rnacentral:lncRNA from 1 species
CCAGGCCAGAACGAGCACCCAGCAGUACAAACAGACCCCCAGGCCAGGACUGAGGCAACCCAGCAGUACAACAGACCCCCAGGGCCAGGACUGAGCAACCCAGCAGUACAACAGACCCCCAGGGCCAGAGUGACAACCAGCAGUACAAACAGACCCCCAGGGCCAGGACUGAGCAACCCAGCAGUACAACAGACCCCAGGGCAGGCUGAGCAACCAGCAGUACAACAGACCCCAGGGCCAGGACUGAGCAACCCAGCAGUACAACAGACCCCAGGGCCAGGACUGAGCGACCCAGCAGUACAACAGACCCCCAGGGCCAGUACUGAGCAACCCACAGUACAACAGACCCCCCAGGGCCAGGACAGCAACCCAGCAGUACACAGACCCAGGCCAGGAGCUUAGCACACCAGCAGUACAACAGACCCCAGGGCCCAGGACUGAGCAACCCAGCAGUACAACAGACCCCCAGGCCAGGACUGAGCAACCCAGCGUACACAGACCCCAGGGCCAGGCUGAGCAACCAGCAGUACAACAGACCCCCGGGCCAGACUGGAGCAACCCAGCAGUACAACGAACCCCAGGCCAGGACGAGCAACCCAGCAGUACAACAGACCCCCAGGGC